CAGGUGUACAUUAUUGACUACUGACUUGCUAAAAAAUACAGGGAUCUUCAACCACACAAGCACAUUCCAUACAGGGAAAACAAGAAUCUUACAGGAACAGCUCGCUAUGCAAUUGUCAACACUCAUCUUGGAGUUGAACAAAGUAGGAGAGAUGAUUUGGAAUCUCUUGGUUAUGUGCUUAUGUACUUUCUUCGAGGAAGGUUGACAGCAAACUGAGA